CAGGAAAACACAACAGUGCGUUACGUGAAAGAAGCAGGACCUCCUAAGUGUUGCUUAAGACUGUAUCAGCAGUGGGAUUUCUUUUUUGUUUUCUUGGUUUAUUUUAGUUCCAUUCUGGCAAGAAUUGGGUUUUCAAGAUGAGCUAAACUGCCCCUGCUCCUUGACAUCUCCUGACCGACGCUGCUGACGUCUGGAUAACGUAACACGUCAAUGAGCGAGAUUGCGUCUCUGCUCUCCUCCAGCGUACUGAGGUGGAUGUUUCCCAAAUGCAAGAAAUGCCCACGAGUGUUUUCUGUAACACCCUGCAGGUGCUAUAAGCACUUUCUCUGGGUCAGUGGCUUUGAACAACAAAGAAGUGACUCUGAUACAAUACAGGGAUUAUCGCCAGUUACCGAACAGAUUGUGGCAAAUGAAACAAUGUCUCCUGCAUCUCAUUUCUUCUCCAUCAAACCACUGCAGCAUCAUUCUAAUACAUUACGUCAUUGUGUGAAGGAGUCAGAUGUGUGUCAGCCUUCAGCACCAUUAUUUACUCAGUAGACACAAUAGCCUGGCACAGAUGUGUAUUGUUCCAUAGUUACAGAUGAACGUUCUCUUGUGCGUGUUAAUGCGCUAAAAACAACUUAAUGAUCUUUUUCCAAACUUACAUCUCACUGAGCAGAGAUGCUCAUGUUGGUAGGAAUCACAGUACGUCAGAAUGGGGGGGUAAAACACUGACAUCUGACCACACCUAGUUUAAAAAUGGGCUCCAGGUGUUUCCUGCCAACUGUUAAAAGACAAACACCUGCUGUGACAUCAUGGCAGUCAUGCAAACUGGACGUCUUUCUUACUUCAGGUGAGACGUAAAAAAACACUAGAGGUUGAAUUUGAGGUUUCAAACCAACUUUCCAGAAAGUGAAAACACUUGAAUGAGCAUGACCGUUCAAAAUGCUACAACUCAAACAAUAUGAUUGGAAUCGAUCUAUCUGAGAAACGCUUUCAUAGCAGGUGCUGGCAAACAACACAGUGUUCAUUGUGAGUUCACCUAAUAGCCACACUUCUUGUGACUAUUCUGUGAGUCUGAACUUCCUGACCUCGACCUCGAUCUGCAUCGUGGGAAGCAGAGCAAUAAUGAGUCCAGCCAUGAAACUAUUAUAGUUACAAGCCAGACAUCCUGACUGCCCACAGUGACUGGACAGGUUGUACAGAUCAAAUUCACAAU